GGCUCGAUGGUCUAGGGGUAUGAUUCUCGCUUUGGGUGCGAGAGGUCCCGGGUUUCAAAUCCCGGUCGAGCCC
rnacentral:tRNA from 1 species